GCCCUGGUAGUGUAGCUCGGCCUAUCAUGAAGCCCUGUCGAGGCUUCGACUCGGGUUCAAAAAAGACUCAGCUUCCUUUUUUCACAAAAAGAAGCGAAAUUUGAAAGUCCCGGCCAGGGCG
rnacentral:tRNA from 1 species